rnacentral:misc_RNA from 1 species
CUUUUUUAUUGCUUUUGUCUAAUGCUCAAUGAUGAUCUUCUGGCAUGUAUUUAAUUACCUACUUUUCACAUGUUAAAAUCACUUCUAAAUCAUGGGCUUGAGGGGCAAAUGUGACAAAGUAUGAAAUAUCAAUUAUAAACUGUUAAAGAUUGUCCCCUUCCUCAGCUUCUGUGAGGGAAAAAGGCAUCUAGCUGUUUACAAAUACAAGUAAAAAAAGGAAGACAAUAGAGGCAGAUGAGAAGAAGAGCAAAGGAAUCUUCAGAUUUUUCAUGCUGGAAAACUGAGCAGAUUAGUGACAUAAUUUGUGCUUAGUUCUUUUACCUUCAAUAUUUGAUAUGAUUUAAUGUUCUUUUUUAAAUUUCUUUUUAUCACAAUGCACAUAUGCUGAUGUGGAACUUCUUUGAAUGAAAAUUUUGAUGUGAACAUUAACUUGUUUAGGUGGGAUGUAAAUAGUUUUUUUGAACUGGCACCUUACUGUCAUUGAGUGGGUGUCUAGUGCCCUGGGCAAUUAGGGUCAUGGCAUCUGAAAGGCACCUCUUAUUUUGACAACAUUGUAUCUCACUAGGGGUUUCUUUUGAUCUUCAUUCUUUCCUUCUUUUGUGAUAGAAGAAAAAGAUAUAUUAAAAUUAAGAGGGAGAAUUGAAAGAUUAUUACAGGAAAGGACUGAAGCAAUAACAUAAAUACAAAAAUGAAAGCCUAUGCUGAAACAGAAGGGAUAUGCAAUCUUGUUGCGUAUCAGUUGAAACAGUACCUCUAAAUAAAUCAUUCAUGAAAGACCUAAAAAAUGCAAAGCAAGAUUUUAUCCAUAAUUUCAAUGGUAAAACCGUGAAAGAUGGUUCUUGAAAAUUUCCUUGCAUUGUACUCCAACCACAUGCUACACAGAAAAAAUCACACAUCAGCCAAUAAUCUAUAGCGUUUGUAGUUUAUGUGGCAUAUAUCAGCCAAUAAGUGCACAGCAAUUGAGAAGAGCAAAAGAAAGAGAAUAGAGGAGCGCAGUGAAAACCUUGUAUUCCUUUCUUCUGAUCUUGUUUAUGAGUAUGGCCGUGCUUUUUUUUAAUUGGCUAAUGUAUGGCACACAAAAUAAAAUUACUAAAUAUUUCCAUGUGUCACAUUGUUCAAUAAUAAAUAUGUACUUAGCCAUGAGGACACACAGUAACAUAUCUGCAUAUUCCCAGUUCCUAAUUUGUUGGAUGCAUUUAUAUGUUUGCAGCCUAUUCUCUAAACCAGACUAUUCUGUAAUUGUAUUGAAUCUUUUCUUAAUUUCUAUGGACCAUCGGGUAGUAAUGAGACUGUUAAAAAAAUAAUAAGAUCACAUUGGAUUACUUUCUGAAUAUUCAUCAUUGGUUUUGGAAAAUAUUUGUUCGUUAAUCAUUAUAUGUCACUUUCCUCUGCAGGAAGUUGAUUUGAACUCUGAG